UACGUAGGGUGCGAGCGUUAAUCGGAAUUACUGGGCGUAAAGCGUGCGCAGGCGGUUCGUUGUGUCGGCGGUGAAAGCCCCGGGCUCAACCUGGGAAUGGCCGUUGAAACUGGCGAACUGGAGUGUGGCAGAGGGGGGUGGAAUUCCGCGUGUAGCAGUGAAAUGCGUAGAGAUGCGGAGGAACACCGAUGGCGAAGGCAGCCCCCUGGGCUAACACUGACGCUCAGGCACGAAAGCGUGGGGAGCAAACGGG
rnacentral:rRNA from 1 species